AUUGAACGCUGGCGGCAGGCUUAACACAUGCAAGUCGAGCGAGCGGCGGACGGGUGAGUAAUGUAUGGGGAACUGCCCGAUGGAGGGGGAUAACUACUGGAAACGGUAGCUAAUACCGCAUACCAUCAGAUGUACCCAUAUGGGAUUAGCUAGUAGGUGGGGUAAUGGCUCACCUAGGCGACGAUCUCUAGCUGGUCUGAGAGGAUGACCAGCCACACUGGUACUGAGACACGGCCCACACUCCUACGGGAGGCAGCAGUGGGGAAGAUUGCACAAUGGGCGAAAGCCUGAUGCAGCCAUGCCGCGUGUAUGAAGAAGGCCUUCGGGUUGUAAAGUACUUUCAGCGGGGAGGCGUUACUCGCAGAAGAAGCACCGGCUAACUCCGUGCCAGCAGCCGCGGUAAUUC
rnacentral:rRNA from 1 species